AACGAACGCUGGCGGCAGGCCUAACACAUGCAAGUCGAACGCCCCUUUCGGGGGGAGUGGCGCACGGGUGAGUAACGCGUGGGAAUCUGCCCUUUGGUCUGGAAUAACCCUGGGAAACUAGGGCUAAAACCGGAUGAGCCCCUUGGUCGCGAGAUUGCGGGGGAAAGUUUACGCCGAAGGAGGAGCCCGCGUCCGGUGAGCUAGGUGGUGAGGUACGAGCUCACCAAGGCUACGAUCGGUAGCUGGUCUGAGAGGACGAUCAGCCACACUGGGACUGAGACACGGCCCACACUCCUACGGGAGGCAGCAGUGGGGAAUAUUGGACGAUGGGCGCAAGCCUGAUCCAGCCAUGCCGCGUGAGUGAUGAAGGCCUUCGGGUUGUAAAGCUCUUUUGGCGGGGACGAUGAUGACGGUACCCGCAGAAUAAGCCCCGGCAAACUUCGUGCCAGCCGCCGCAGUAA
rnacentral:rRNA from 1 species